rnacentral:lncRNA from 1 species
CCUAACUCUAAUUCUCUUCCUUUCUUCUAAAAAAAAAAGAGGCAGUCGCCUCCUCUUCUCUUCUCCUCCCUUUCGCUCUUUCUCCUCUCCAUCUAGCAGCCACCAGGCGAGGCCACCGGCGGAAAACCAGUAGCCAGCCGGUGAGAACAACAAUCGCCAGCAGCCAGCGAGAGCCGGACGGCAUCCAGCGAAAUAACAGCUCCCACCAGCGAAUGCCAGCAGCUCCACGAAACAACGCCACCAGUGAAGACAGCAGCCGCAUGACGCCAGCGACGCCGGUGAAAACCAGCCAACUCCGACCAACAGCAACGAGCAGCCAAGCGAGCUCCGCUCGACGUGGUCAACGAGCAACAGCAACACCAGCUCCAACCAGUAGCCAGGCGAGUCCUAGCAGGUAGCAGCUCCGGACCAACGAGGCAGCAAGCACCAGCGAGUUUCGAAGUUCUAAAAUUUUGCACAAGACGGAUCUCGACAGAUCCGUCCAAGUUUGACUUUGUUUAAUUAUUAUCGGUCUUCUAAUAAUUAGCUUUCAAUUUGACCAUUAGUUUCUGCCAUUUUUAUGAAUAUGUACUUAAAAAUUAUAAUAGUUGUCAGCCUUAUUUUAAGCAUGAAUAUUUGUGAUUCCUAUUUGAUUUAAGCAAGUGAUCGAUAUUGACUAAAUUUGUUCGUGAUUCGCCUGCACUUGCUAUUGGUUUUGAGGGCC